UGCAACACUAUUGCCAUGACUGUGCACUUUCCGUUUUGGGCCUAACGGGUUCAAGUUGGCCCGGUUCAAUUCGAAUCUUCCACCGAAUAUAUCCUACAGAAGAAACGACGUCGUUUUUAUCCGUUGCCGCCUUUACAUUCCGCCCCAAAUCUGCGUCAGUUUAUAGUUUUUACCUCCUUUUUAACCUUCUCUCACCUUUCUGCUCAGCUCAUUUGUGCUCCAAACACCGCACCGACGUCGUUUUCGGGUGAAAUCAAGGGCGCCGAUGAGUUCUUGUAGCAGGAAGAAGAAUUUCGGGAGCGGCAGCUUCGUAUCGAAUUUGAGGGAUCACAUUCAUGAAUUUCUUCAUGCUUCCAUGGAUGAGCACAGAACUUGCUUGAAAGAGACGGUGCAGAAGAUGUUUGAAAGGGCAAAACUUUACAGAGAAAAGAGUGGCAGCGGACCAAACGAAGGAGAAAAGCCCCUGCCUUUGCAAACCACUACAGAUUAGGAAGAAUUUGCAAGCUUUUCUAUUUUCUGGGUUGCAGAGAAAAAAGAGUACUGUAAGACAAAUUUGAUAUCUUUAUCUUUAGCAUCUGUAUAGGUUCUGUUUGAAACAAUAGUUUGACGAAUGACAUUGAAAUGCUAGCGUCAGUUACUCAUGCGUUGGAGUUUCAUUGAUGUAGGUCUCACAUUGACUUCAUAUUUCAUUCAAUUGCUAGAAAUUGUCCAUGCGAAUGUGAGUGACCGGAGCAAACUUUUUGAUGACUCGAAUAGUCGUUCGUUGGAUGGCAUUGAAUUUGAUUUAACCGGUUAUUUACACCCUUGCGAUACUAGUGUUUGGUGUGAAUCUAAUUUAUUGUUUUUUUUUUUUUUUUUGAGCAAAAAUUUAUUGUAUUAAGUUAAGGAUUUGGUAGCCACUAGCCAAUUAUAGUUAUAUGCUAUUUAAUGCUUCCUUUCUUUAAUUUUUAACCUAAGAUUUCUAGCCCCUAAUCCCACCCCACCUUGUGCAACUGGGGCUAAUGAUCAUGUGCUAAUACAUGCUCUCUUUAAUUAAUGAUGAUUAUAAAUAAAUAAAUAAAUAAGCAAUUGCAUCUGUGGUGAUUCUUACUUGUUACAUGUGCAAACAAGACAAAGAAAAGUAUGCUACAUUUAGAAGUUACGGGAAAAAAAUAGGAGGGAAUGGGAAGGGAGUAGAGAUAUAGGUUAAUUGCUAAUUUGCUAGAUCCACUUCAAGAGGAAAUUGGUGCCGUGUCUACUGCUGGAGGGCGUCUUCCUUUAGAGCUUUAGGGCCUUUAGCCUGUAGAAGGUAAACGGAAGUUAUUAUACAGGAUGCUUAUAAUUUUUUCUGAAUUAAGUGCUUUCUAGUGCUGAAAAUUAAUUAUCAUCGGUGAACAGAUUUUCUGCCAGUAUAGGAACAAAUGAUAUGAGCGAGGGAGAAUAGGAACAAAUGAUAUGAGUGAGGGGUAAGGAGUGAGUAGCUGAAUAAUGUCAUUGUCAUGUACCCUCAUCAAAUUGAGAAAUAGAUAUUGGGAUUGACAUUAUAUUCAUGCUAUUACAUCAUUGGCAGUGAGUUAAUAAUGCAUGUUGAUAGUGCAACUCUGCCUAUGAAGAGUGAGGGCAAUGCAAAAUGAAGAAUGAGAAUGUUAGUAUCAAAUUGUAGCCUGAGAGGUUUAUGACCAGAAAUUAUUAUAUUUAUAUUUUGAGUAUGGAUUUAAUACAGAAGUGAGCUUCACUGAUUUUGUUGGUUAUAUAUCUCGUGGACAUGAAUACCUUAAGGUCUAUAUAUGGUCAAUUAAGGACUUACAAGCAGUAAUUCUAUUCUUCAUCUUAUCAAGUAAUAAGGAGAAAAAAGUGUAUUACCUCUUUUCUUCACCAGUGAUGCUGCUUUCUCUGGCUUUCCUAUACUUAGGAAGUGGAACUUUGCCUGACUCAAUGCGGUUGAUGUCCGCUAGAAGGAUCUCAUACUGCCUCUUCACUUCCUCCUCAGUCGUCCCUCCAACAACCCUGGCAAUAUUAUGCCAACGAUCAGGGGUUUCCCUAUCAUAUGUUGCCAGAGCGAUUUCAAAUGAUUUGUUUUGUUUGGCUGUCCAAGUUGAAUUGGAGUGUGGAGAAGAAGGCGUGCUAGGUGCCAUUUUUAUGAGAUAUUAGAGCAAGAUUAGUAGGGUGGAGCUGGAAGUGACGAGAACCAAGUUUCAGUAGGAUAUUUAAGAGAGAACGAAUUUGGGCGAUGAAAGGGAUCAAAGAAAUUUAAAGAGAAAGCCGGAGGCAGAGAAAACAAAUAGUGUAGAAAGUAAAAUAUGAAUAAAGGUAGUGUGGUACUCUAAGUCAAGCGAUUAGCUAAGAUGAGACCAAAGAAUUACAGUUCGUACAAAUGAGAUGAUGCAAGUUGGCAAGGAUAGCAUAUUAUAAAACUUUAUGUGCUUAGAAUAAGCAGCAGAAACUAGGAACAGAUAGAUCUCUAAGGACAGUAAUUUGCUUCCCCUUCAAGUUUUUACUUUUUUAUGAGUGGAAGUACGAUGAUCUAAUAUAAAUAUUAUAUAAGCAUGUGUGAUUUCAUAAGUAGAAAGAAUCAUUAAACAUAGUCAAAAGAAGUGAACCCUCUAACUUUUUGAGAAUUCUUAGAUGUCAGCGUGAAGCCUUUUUUUUUAUAAUUAAAAAAUGCAAUCCUAUAUCGAAAACUUGACAGAAUAAAUUAAAGCUUAUAUUGAAUCAUUCUACUCUUAAUCGUAUCAAGGUCUUUUGUGAUAAAACUCAACACUUGCAGGGAUGUGCAGAUGGUUAGGUUGGGAUAGUAUCAGUGUUAUUAGUAGUGGGUUGCUUGACUGACUGAAAUCUUGAAAUUCUUUCCUUAAAUUUAUAUCAUUGCAAAACAGUGUUGGUUAAGAGAAUUUGGAUAUACCUGCUUAGUUAAUUUCUGAUGUCUUAGUUUCCUAGGAAAUGAAUGUAGAGCUGUAAAAUCCAGUUGUGUGUUCCAAACAACUUCUUUCUUGAUAUUUAUUGAUACAAAAGAAGCAACUGUUAUAAACAUGUGUAUGUGUGCAUCCUUGAAGCAUUUGUUUCCAAGACAUUUCCACUUCUUAGCUCAAAUCUUCCGCAUGUUUAUGUCAUUAAAUAACUUCUUCCUGGUUUUCUGGAAGUGGCAGGACCACAUUGUGGUUACUUACAAGAAUCAAACCACUUCUUUUUCCUAGCUACUAUAUAAAAUUUGAUGCACUCUAGUCCUACCUAAACAUGUAUUCUAGUUUCAGUGGAGAAAGACUUUCGUGCAACAGGGGUACUAUUGUAGCGGUAACCCAAGUCAAAAAGGCAUUGCCUUGUGGGAAUGUUAAAACGCAUGGCAGUUCGUGAUUGACUUGAAUUAUGGCAUCUCCGUUGCAGCUAGUGUACACAAGAGCCUCCUGGAAGCCUGCAAAUUAUUCCAAAUGCAACAUCUUAUUGAAUCGAAAAAUGACGGAGAGAUGCGAGGGUAUCUGAACUGGGAAGAGCCUCUAGCUUGGGGCAACGACUCAUUUCCAGAUGCUCAAGACAAGUACAAGACUGAAGCCCGUCAACCGGUAAACGCCUCAAAUUUUGAGAGUCAUGGAUAUGCAGCGAGCGAAGAGAAGUACAAGAUCGUAGUCCGCUCAGCAUGCUUGUGAAUCCAUGGCACUCUACAAUGUUCACACGAUGGAGGGAUGCGCAACCGUGCAAAUAUAACUCCUCCUCGUCAAGAGACGUUGUUUGUAGAUUCUUUGAACCACGCCAAUUCGAAAUAUGCAACUCGCAGAGGGAAGGUAAGUUGCGAAUUGAAGGGGAUGUGAUCUUUGGACAAUUUGCUAUUGCCAAAUCCUGAAGAGAUGUGCAAUGUUCAAGACCACUUGGUAGGCUUGAUAAUUCAUCACAACCUUCAAUAUCCAGUGCAAGGAGGGAUGGUGAAAUUGGAAUGGAUGUCAGAUUGGGGCAACAACUUAUUCUCAACAUCUCAAGAGCGGUGCAGUCUUCUAACCCGCUCAGCGAGCUCGACAAUGUCUUGCAAUCCUCAAUCACCAAUUCGCGGAGACAUGUCUUGCCGUGCGUAACUGGAAUCAACUCUAAACAAGGACAAUUCCUUACAGUUAGCUUCGCAAGAAGAGGGAGUGUGUCCAGCCCCUUGUGCAAUUGCCUCAGCUUUUCACAAUUCCUAAUAAGCAGUGACUGAAGAUUGUGGUUCUCUUCCACCAUCCCUGCUGGCAGACAAGUAAGCGCAUUGGCGCCAUGCAUUUCGAGGGAAGUGAGAGUAGUUAGUCGACUGCUUAUAUUUUCUAUUGAUGCGACGCUGCCAAUACAAUCUAACUUCAACUUUUGGAGAGAUGGAAAAUGAGCAGGAGCAUUUCUGAAUUCUGUACAAGAAGAGAGUCAACUGCUCGAGGCAGGGAAACACCACUGGCGCUACUUUCUCAUCGGUUGGCAAUGGCAUCACAACAACCGCUUCCUUCCAUUCAAUCAGAGUGAUAGGAGCAUAUUUAUGCGACUUAGUUGGCUUGUUCUUGUGCAUUUAUGUCGUGUUUCCUUAGUUAUUUUAAUGUUUAAAGUCAUUUUCGUGUGUUUUCAGAUUUUAUGGACAAAGUA